AGCAGAGAGCUGGACACGGGGCUUGGGGCUCAGGCAGUCGGCCUCCGGGUCUCCAAGGUGAAGCAGGAAGUGGGUGGUCGGGGCCGGGUGGUGGCUGAGGGCAGGGGCCACAGCGGUGCCGCCCACAGGAUGCCCUCACCGUGGUGGUGGAUGACCUCCGCCUGUGCUCUGUGAAGCCGUGUGAGGACAUCGAGCGGAGGUUCUGCUUCGAGGUGCUGUCACCCACCAAGUGAGGAGGCCCAGCCCAGGGUGGGGUGGGGGGCGUACCUGCCCACCGGAGCUGACGCCCGCCCCUCCACUGCCUGCAGGAGCUGCAUGCUGCAGGCUGACUCCGAGAAGCUGCGGCAAGCCUGGGUCCAGGCUGUGCAGGCCAGCAUCGCCUCCGCCUACCGCGAGAGCCCUGAC
rnacentral:sRNA from 1 species